AGAUUGAACGCUGGCGGCAGGCCUAACACAUGCAAGUCGAGCGGCAGCACGGGUACUUGUACCUGGUGGCGAGCGGCGGACGGGUGAGUAAUGCCUAGGAAUCUGCCUGGUAGUGGGGGAUAACGCUCGGAAACGGACGCUAAUACCGCAUACGUCCUACGGGAGAAGCAGGGGCCGUU
rnacentral:rRNA from 1 species